rnacentral:rRNA from 1 species
AUAGAGACUCAGAGCUGCAUAUCAAUAAGCGGAGGAAAAGAAACUAACUAAGGAUUCCCUUAGUAACGGCGAGUGAAGCGGGAAGAGCUCAAAUUUGAAAUCUUCAAGGUUUUACCUUGACGAAUUGUAGUUUAAAGAAGUGUUUUCUGUUGAAGUUUUGGUAAAAGUUCUUUGGAAUAGGACAUCAUAGAGGGUGAGAAUCCCGUAUUUGACCAUUAUCUCCAGCUUUGUGAUACACUUUCAAAGAGUCGGAUUGUUUGGGAAUGCAGUCCAAAAUGGGUGGUAAAUUUCAUCUAAAGCUAAAUACUGGCGAGAGACCGAUAGCGAACAAGUACCGUGAGGGAAAGAUGAAAAGAACUUUGAAAAGAGAGUUAAACAGUACGUGAAAUUGUCAAAAGGGAAGCGUUUGACACCAGUGUUGUUUUUCCUCGAAAAUCAAUUAAGAAUGGCUUGAUUUUGUGUUGUAUUGACCUUAUAAGCUUUCUGCACUUUUUUCAUGUCUUUUUUAAUGCACUUUUCGUUUAACAAGUCAACAUCAAUUUCUUUUGUUGUAAAAGAGUCAUUCGGAAGGUGGCUUUCUUUUCGGAGAAAGUGUUUAUAGCCCUAUACUUCUACAAUCGGAGAGAUUGAGGUCUGCAGCGUAGAUCCUUCGGGGUUAGAUACACUUGUGCUAAGUUGUAGCUUUUCAUAGACAACUUGUUGACUAUGUUUAGUCAUGCGGCUUACUCGCUUGUGCUAUUUUACCUACGCUUAGGAUGUUGACGAUCAGCUGAGCGCG